GUGGUUUUAUUCAAAUAAUUUACAGUGACAUAACGAACUCAUAUUAAUAGUGAAUUCGUAAUACAAGCACAUUGAUGAUAUCACGAAAAAAAUAGUUAACCCCAUUAGAAAAUAUUGUAUCUGAAAUCGUCAAGGACCACUGUAGAAUCACAUUUAUCUUAUAAGAAAUGAAUAAUUAUUAUAUAGCAAUUCAUAUUAUGAAAUCAUAGUGCUUGUAAGUACAGAAGAUUAAAGAUCGCGUUAAUUCAUCAGUGGGAAGUAAAACUAAAUAUUGCAUUGUCAAUAUAUUGUUUCCAUUACAAUUCUGAACAAUGGGAGAUAACUCAAAUUUUUGAAGAUGAGUUUUAACAAUGACUAUGUAUAUAUGUUAGUUCAUGCAUUAUUAUUGUUUGUUAUACAUUAGAUUCCUGCACCUUGCAAAAGUUAUGUUAUUUUCUUGACAGGUGUAACAUUGUUUUGUAACUUGAAUAUCUGAGCAUAUGUUAUAUUGAUAAAUUUCCGGAAAUAUUCAUUGAUAGGAUUUUAAGAAUGUAAUGAUCAAUGCACAUUAUUUUUGUAUCAAUAAGGUAGUGAUAAGCCUUGGAAGAUUUAGAUAUCAAGUCAGUAAUAUAGGGUUUUGAUUGCAUUUCAUGCACUCUUUACCCUUAAACCUUUAUUGAUUGCAUGUUUGAGGGUCUGUAUUGGGUUUAAAUAAUACAAUAACAUAACUAGAGAUGGGUAAAAUAUAGGAAAAGAGAAAAACGAACCAACAAACAAUAAAGCAUAGAGAGAAAUGAGCUGCUAAAAUAUUUAAAAAUAUGAUUUAACGGGCAUAAAAAAAUUGGCGUAAAAAAAGCCUUAAAAGAUCAAGGAGAAAAAAAUGAUUUAAUGGGCAGAAAAAUGACAGUGUAAAAAAACCUUAAGGAUCAAGAAAAAAAAAACUGACCUCAUUGAACGGUGACCUUCCCAAUCAAGAUCUUUAUGUUAUAAUCAAAAAAAAAAAAAAAAAAAUGAAAACAACACGUUAAAUAACUUUUUGCAUGAAGCGUUUUUCUGGAUAUACCUUCAUCAGGAAUGCUCGAGGCCACACAUUUGAAAUCCGAAGAUGUAUAAAAACCGAGACCGUUGAAAAGCUGUAUAUCCUGAUCUGUAGACCUAAUUUUUCUCCAAAGUCCAAUAUGCAUUGUCUAACAGAAAGCAUAGGUUAUCGCUGUCAGGAACCAGAUAAACAAGAAUAAUCUUGGAUUACUAUGGAUAGGACAUAAUAUUCAAUGGAGAUAUGACUUAUAUAUCUUGGUAAGAAAGGUUGAUGAAUGGAAAUUUAACCAAAGAUUCUAUAUAUUUUAACCGAAAAAUAUACACAUUUUCAGUUCUUACAUUAGAACGAAAUUGACAAAGCAUGAAAGCCAUAUCAUGAAUGAGUUGUUUAUAGAGCUUAUAAUUUGGUAUGGAGGACAUUUAAGUCAUGGCGGGGUAAGUUUUAAUUCUUUUGAUAUUGAAGAAAUGUUUUAUGUUUAUACUUCUGGAAAGUAGUGAAAUAAAGAAUAAAAUUUGUUUUCAAAUCUUCAAACUGUUAACAAAAUUAGAUGUAAUAAUUCAGUCCCUUAAAUGGUUUCCAAUAAGAAGUAAUUCGUGUUUUAAUUGACUUUCUAUAAAGGUGAUAUUUUGUCAGAAAUAAGUCUCGACAAUGUAUAAUGUUCAAUGGUAUCAGACAUGGUGAUAGUUAAGAGGGUACCCAACACUUAACUAAAAUAGAUUUUGCUCGUUUAAUUUUCAUAAUGUUUUUAUAAAUAUUUACUUUGACCAGUUUACAAACAAGUGAAAAUUUCUGGAAAUUUCAACCACACAAUUAACAAGAACAAUUUUGUUGAAUAUAUAGCAGUUGACAAACACUAAUUUUGAUCGUUGAAAUGCUUGAUUUCCCCGUACUAUUAAUUUGUGAUUAAAACGCUCAGCUAGUUUUUUUAGAGUUAUCUAUCUUAUGUGUUCUGUACCAUCUUAUGCGUUCAUAGGUAACACUAAUACAAGUAUUUAGAUCUUUAAAACUAUAAAUCGAAGACUUGUAAGAAACAAAAUAACAAUGUUAUUCAUCGUGCAUGAAGCAGUUGACAGUUGAUUUGUGAAAGUGGAUGCAACUUAGAGUUAAAAUUGAAAUGGUAAAGUUUGCAUUUAUGCAAUCUACAUUUUACAACUAUUUGG
rnacentral:lncRNA from 1 species